UGUUAAUCUUCAGUUAAAGCCUCUUCAUC
rnacentral:piRNA from 1 species